UACGAAGGGUGCAAGCGUUACUCGGAAUUACUGGGCGUAAAGCGUGCGUAGACGGUUAUUUAAGUCAGGUGUGAAAGCCCCGGGCUCAACCUGGGAAUUGCAUUUGAGACUGAAUAGCUAGGGUGCGGAAGAGGGAAGCGGAAUUUCCGGUGUAGCGGUGAAAUGCGUAGAUAUCGGAAGGAACACCAGUGGCGAAAGCGGCUUCCUGGUCCAGCACCGACGUCAGGCACGAAAGCGUGGGGAGCAAACAGG
rnacentral:rRNA from 1 species